rnacentral:tRNA from 1 species
AUCCAAGGAUGGAAAUCGACCCGCAGUGUUACGUUUAUCGGGCAGAUGCCAUGUCCACUAGGCUACCCUGGA